GUGGGGAAUCUUGCGCAAUGGGCGAAAGCCUGACGCAGCCAUGCCGCGUGAAUGAUGAAGGUCUUAGGUUUGUAAAAUUCUUUCACCGGGGACGAUAAUGACGGUACCCGGAGAAGAAGCCCCGGCUAACUUCGUGCCAGCAGCCGCGGUAAUACGAAGGGGGCUAGCGUUGCUCGGUAUUACUGGGCGUAAAGGGCGCGUAGGCGGACAGUUUAGUCAGAAGUGAAAGCCCAGGGCUCAACCUUGGAAUUGCCGUUGAUACUGGCUGUCUUGAGUACGGGAGAGGUGAGUGGAACUCCGAGUGUAGAGGUGAAAUUCGUAGAUAUUCGGAAGAACACCAGUGGCGAAGGCGACUCACUGGCCCGUUACUGACGAUGAGGCGCGAAAGCGUGGGGAGCAAACAGGAUUAGAAACCCCAGUAGUCC
rnacentral:rRNA from 1 species